UACCUUUCAUUCUAACAAUUUUUUUUGCCUUUAGUGUCUUUUUAAUUCCGUCCAAGAAAACGUGCUGCCAUACCCUAGGCUCCUCGGAUAAGCGGAACCUUUUCUCGCGUUAUGCGCAGUUAUGACGUUGAGUUGACCCACGUGCCUGUGUGUAAGCUGAGGCAUGCACUCGUGGGUGGCAGGAAUAGGCUGUGUCCGCGUCGUUUUUCAUCCUUGUUCUUUUGUGCCUCAAAAAGUGAAACAGGAAUAGGCUUCCAAGAGAGUAGUUUUCCGGAGUAGUCUACAAGAUACCAUGCGCUGAUUGCGACUACGCAUACAUCGGUGAAUAGGGCAACUUUGGACAGGCAGCAUACGAUCGAUGUCGACAAGAAACGAACAGUUUCAGAUGCCCUCGCUGAGUACACAGAGGCAACGGGCCACAUGAUUGACUCAAGCAUUAUCGGCCACAAAAGAAACUUGAAAUUGCAACUUUAUCUGGAGUCGUUGGAGACACAAAAAACACAUCCCAUGCUCAAUCGCAGUGAGGGAACCCCCCCCCCCCCCCCCCCCGUCGCACACGCGUUGCCCACGUCAUGUACUGAAGAAUACACAAGCAUCUGUAGCUUGCCUUCGCCCCAUUAAAGUGAACAAGACUUCUGUAGUGAAGCCGAAACGUCCU
rnacentral:lncRNA from 1 species